UGAAGUUUGAAAGAAAACUAUAGAAAUCUAUAGAAAUUAGUUGAUUUUUUUUUUUUUAUGUUUAGGGCAAUUUCAACAUUAUGGACGUCACAUUUGGUUAACAAAAUGACUCACAGUGGAAACAAUUAUGAAUUAAUGAGUCAAUCUGCAUAUGUUGUCAUUUAACCUCUUGAGGACAGUGCAAAGAAAUCUUAAAAGCUCAUGUGUUGAUUUACACGUUUCAAAUACGUAGCAAUUUAUCUGUCACAGAAUCCAGCAUAUAUCGGACUGAGAUCUGGGGGAUUUAGAGGCCGAGUCAACACCUUGAACUCUUUGUCAUGUUCGUCAAACCUUUCCUGAAGCAUUUUUGCAGUAUGGCAGGGCGCAUUAUCCUGCUAAGAGGCCAUUGACAUUAUUGUCAUUGCCAUGAAGGGGUGUGCUUGGUCUGCAACAAUGUUUAACUAGGUGCUACGUGUCAAAGUAAUAUCAACAUGAAAGGCAGGACCCAUGGUUUCCCAGCAGAACAUUGCCCAGAGCAUCACACUUCCUCCAAUGGUUUGCCUUGUUCCCACAGUGCAUCCUGGUGCCAUCUCAUCGUCGGUCAGAUCCUUACACCUGGCCAGUUUUCCUGCUUCCAGCACAUCAACUUCGAGAACUGACCCCUUGACAGCUUGUUAUGAAGAUGAGAUCAGAGUGCAGGGUCAGCCAUGAUACGGCACUCCGGAGCCGAGAAGGCUCAACAGCGGCAGCUUGGCAGUGCUGGGGCUUGAACCCCUGAGCGUCAGAUCAAUAACAACCACUGCCAUAAUGAGCAACAUGGAGCCUGGAGCCUAUCCCUGGGAACUUAUGGCACAAGGUGGAGGACAUCCUGGAUGGGGUGUCAACCCAUAGCAGGACACAAUCACACACCCAUUCACACACUACAGAUAAUUUAGAGAUGCCUACAAUGAAUGUUUUUGGACUGAGGGAGGAAACUGGAUAAUCCGGAGGAAACCUGCAAAGAUGGAAACUCUGUGAAAACCGGCGGAGAAAGGAUUUGAACCCCUAACCCUGGAGGUGCGAGGCAAACAUGCUAACAACUAAACCACCGGCCCCAGUCAUGUUUAAAAAAAAGAAAGAAAAGAUAAUCAGUGAUAUGUUAUUAACUGCUGAAUCAGACUCUCACAGAAUCUUGCAGAUGUAUACAUUUUAUCACAAUUUACAGCAAAGUCUUUUGUCCAAUUUCACAUUUCUUUUUUUUUUCUAGCUUUUUUCCAGUCUUGUUUAAUUUGAUUCAGAUUUAGGAAUUUCAUUUUCAUUUAGAAAAUUCAUUAAGAGCAUUGAAGACAAGACAAGCAAUGGAACUUAAUCACAUUCGUUAAGUCCACUUUUAAAAUCAGCACUGCAUGUCUUUUCCAUUUGAAGACUUUUCCAGUCUGGGAAUUUGGUCAGGUAUUCACAGUGUCUGUUUUGAUACCUGGAACAGGCUCGACAGUGAGCAGUUAUUAAAUGAAAGAAAAACUAAUGCUAAAGCUAAAAGCCUUUAAAAAUAAAUAAUGGUGAAGUAAAAGAACAUAAGGCUGUAGUAAUAACCUGUACAUACCAGUGACUCAUUGUUUUGCAGGUUUACAGUUUGUUUGAUUUAGAAUCUGGUUUCCCGCUGUUUUUCUCCUGAAUAGUUUUCUCCAGUAAUAGAAACGAAACAACUUCAUUUAGAGAAUAUCUCAGUGAGCAAAGGCUGAAUGAAGACUUGUGUUAAUGACCCAUGUAAAUACAUUGGAUAUGGUCCAUUUUAAGUCGGUCCUGUUCCACUUUGAUCUGGGCGAUACAUGCACCCUUUUUCAGUCCAUAUUAGGUUCAACAUUUUGUACGCGACCACAACAUUUUCCCUUUUUUUUUGUCUUCAACAGACAUUAAAACCUUUCACUAUGGACAAAAUCCCCACAACGAGUGAUGUACAUAGUAAAAUUUUCUUUGUGUCUUCUGAGAUGAGCCAUAUGAAGUGCCACUGUGUUUAUCCUAAGCAAUUUUUAAAUGUCAGCUUUAAUUAAAAAAAAUAAUAAUUUAAUUUAAAAAAAAAACCCUAAACAUUAGGAAAAAUCUAACCAAAAAUCAUGUAACACCUCUAAUCUAAAAAUAAUGUGAUAUGGCUAAAACAGAAAGUGUAAAGUGUAUGAGCUAUAUUUUAGAAAGCCUGCCUAUGCAUUAGAAUACUUUGUUUUUAUUCAGUUUAAUACACCCGAGUCUGCAAAGUCAAAUAAAGAAAGAUUAAAUUAUUGCGUUUUAUACGUCUUGACAAUAUUUAAAAAAAUAUAAAAGGUGCCGUUUGUGGUAUUAGCUAACUCUAUGUUCUCUAGAUCUCUGGUGAGCUUAGCUAACUAGCUGCAAAAAAAAAAAAUGACAAUAAAAUAAAUGUAAAAAUUUUUAACUUAUAAACACAAAUCCCUUUUAGUUUAACAGUAAAUGUAACUUUUUUUAUACCACUGUCACGAUGUCUUAUUUGACCAAGCCGUAACCAUUGAGACAGAAAUGGCACUUGGGAACUUUUUUUUUUUGCACGUUGCAAGUUCCCAAGUGCUACAUGGUUCACACAGUUGGUCAAGGUAGGCUUUCAAGGGCAAAUGCAGUUUGACAGUGUUAUUAACACAUCGUUAACUCCUACCAGGGUGACAUAACAUGUCCAUGUUAAUUGCUGGCUCCCAUCCAGGAAGUGUUAUAACAUUAUAAGCCUAGCCUGUAAGACAGCCGUCUGGUCAUUGAAACAUACAAUAUAUCUAUCACAUAAAAUAAAACAAAAAAAGCACGUAUCCUUAAAUCCAUCAAUAAACAAUUGAAUGAAUUGUUUAUGUAUGCAUUUAUUUAUUUAUUUAUUUAUUGAUAGAGUCAUUUGAAAAUUCUAUUCACCCUGUACUAUAUUGAAAACACAUUAUUAACACAUUAGUUGAUGUUUUACUUUGUGAAUUUAAUUUAUUUUUGAAAAUACACACUCAUUUCAAACAUGAUGACU